rnacentral:rRNA from 1 species
GUGGGGGAUAACCAUUGGAAACGAUGGCUAAUACCGCAUGAUGCCUACGGGCCAAAGAGGGGGACCUUCGGGCCUCUCGCGUCAGGAUAUGCCUAGGUGGGAUUAGCUAGUUGGUGAGGUAAGGGCUCACCAAGGCGACGAUCCCUAGCUGGUCUGAGAGGAUGAUCAGCCACACUGGAACUGAGACACGGUCCAGACUCCUACGGGAGGCAGCAGUGGGGAAUAUUGCACAAUGGGCGCAAGCCUGAUGCAGCCAUGCCGCGUGUGUGAAGAAGGCCUUCGGGUUGUAAAGCACUUUCAGUCGUGAGGAAGGUAGUGUAGUUAAUAGCUGCAUUAUUUGACGUUAGCGACAGAAGAAGCACCGGCUAACUCCGUGCCAGCAGCCGCGGUAAUACGGAGGGUGCGAGCGUUAAUCGGAAUUACUGGGCGUAAAGCGCAUGCAGGUGGUUUGUUAAGUCAGAUGUGAAAGCCCGGGGCUCAACCUCGGAAUUGCAUUUGAAACUGGCAGACUAGAGUACUGUAGAGGGGGGUAGAAUUUCAGGUGUAGCGGUGAAAUGCGUAGAGAUCUGAAGGAAUACCGGUGGCGAAGGCGGCCCCCUGGACAGAUACUGACACUCAGAUGCGAAAGCGUGGGGAGCAAACAGGAUUAGAUACCCUGGUAGUCCACGCCGUAAACGAUGUCUACUUGGAGGUUGUGGCCUUGAGCCGUGGCUUUCGGAGCUAACGCGUUAAGUAGACCGCCUGGGGAGUACGGUCGCAAGAUUAAAACUCAAAUGAAUUGACGGGGGCCCGCACAAGCGGUGGAGCAUGUGGUUUAAUUCGAUGCAACGCGAAGAACCUUACCUACUCUUGACAUCCAGAGAACUUUCCAGAGAUGGAUUGGUGCCUUCGGGAACUCUGAGACAGGUGCUGCAUGGCUGUCGUCAGCUCGUGUUGUGAAAUGUUGGGUUAAGUCCCGCAACGAGCGCAACCCUUAUCCUUGUUUGCCAGCGAGUAAUGUCGGGAACUCCAGGGAGACUGCCGGUGAUAAACCGGAGGAAGGUGGGGACGACGUCAAGUCAUCAUGGCCCUUACGAGUAGGGCUACACACGUGCUACAAUGGCGCAUACAGAGGGCGGCCAACUUGCGAAAGUGAGCGAAUCCCAAAAAGUGCGUCGUAGUCCGGAUUGGAGUCUGCAACUCGACUCCAUGAAGUCGGAAUCGCUAGUAAUCGUGGAUCAGAAUGCCACGGUGAAUACGUUCCCGGGCCUUGUACACACCGCCCGUCACACCAUGGGAGUGGGCUGCAAAAGAAGUAGGUAGUUUAACCUUCGGGGGGACGCUUACCACUUUGUGGUUCAUGACUGGGGUGAAGUCGUAACAAGGUAGCGCUAGGGGAACCUGGCGCUGGAUCACCUCCUUAAACGAUGAU